GAGGCCAGUGAAUGGCAAGACUAGGAAUACCUGUACUUUGUAUAUAUAAAAAAAUUUUUCAUCUAAGUGAAAAGACUUAGAUCGAAAAGGAAGACGAAGAGACCCCGGGGAACUCCACCUUUGCCCAUACCCCUGUCUACAAACUUAAAGGUCUAUAAGGUUUGAUUGGGGCAAUCGUGGAACCAACAAAGCUCCCAAUGAGCUUAAAAACCUAUUAAAAAUUUUCAAGGACUAAAAAGUAGUUACCCCGGGGAUAACAGCGUAAUCUAACUCAAGAGUACAUAUCGAGAAGUUCACGUUUGCGACCUCGAUGUUGGCUAC
rnacentral:rRNA from 1 species